UGGUUAUAUUCCAUACCGACUUAUGGAGCGUGAUGGGGGGACGCAUAGGGUUAAGCGAGCUAGCUGAUGGAAGCGCUAGUCUAAGGGCGUAGAUUGGAGGGAAGGCAAAUCCACCUCUGUAUUUGAAACCCAAACAGGCUCUUUGAGUCCUUUUAGGACAAAGGGAGAAUCGCUGAUACCGUCGUGCCAAGAAAAGCCUCUAAAUAUAUCCAUAGUCGUCCGUACCGCAAACCGACACAGGUAGAUGAGAUGAGUAUUCUAAGGCGCGUGAAAGAACUCUGGUUAAGGAACUCUGCAAACUAGCACCGUAAGUUCGCGAUAAGGUGUGCCGCAGCAAUGCGGUCUCAGCAAAGAGUCCCUCCCGACUGUUUACCAAAAACACAGCACCUUGCCAACUCGUAAGAGGAAGUAUAAGGGGUGACGCCUGCCCGGUGCUCGAAGGUUAAGAGGAUGCGUUCAGUCGCAAGAUGAAGCGUUGAAUUGAAGCCCGAGUAAACGGCGGCCGUAACUAUAACGGUCCUAAGGUAGCGAAAUUUCUUGUCGGUUAAAUACCGACCUGCAUGAAUGGCGUAACGAGAUGGGAGCUGUCUCAACCAGAGAUUCAGUGAAAUUGUAGUGGAGGUGAAAAUUCCUCCUACCCGCGGCAAGACGGAAAGACCCCGUGGACCUUU
rnacentral:rRNA from 1 species